CGCAAUGUUUUUUAGAAGUAUUUUUCGUGUUACAGCAAGCCCCUCAAUCCGUCAUUGUCUCCAUCUCAAAACCCCCCGGCCCUGCAAUCCAUCGGCCACUCAAAUCAUCUUGCUUCCUCUAAAAAUCCCAAAUGCUAUUCGGGUUUCUCACAAUGUCCCUCAUCCUCAUCAUUUAUGUCUAUGUGAAUAUGUGCUUCCUUUUCUGUUUAUCAAAGCUUUGACAUUUCAUCACCACAACUAUAACACC
rnacentral:lncRNA from 1 species